UCUAAACGACUCUCGGCAACGGAUAUCUCGGCUCUCGCAUCGAUGAAGAACGUAGCAAAAUGCGAUACUUGGUGUGAAUUGCAGAAUCCCGUGAACCAUCGAGUUUUUGAACGCAAGUUGCGCCCAAAGCCAUUAGGCUGAGGGCACGUCUGCAUGGGCGUCAC
rnacentral:rRNA from 1 species